rnacentral:lncRNA from 1 species
AAAAUCCAGGGAUCUGUUACGGCAGCCUGUAGCACGCACUACGGCCCAUAGCGCUUCCCAAAACAAAAUCCUUUUGGCUUUUCUCUGAGCGAUAAACCAGAGGGCUUCUUCAGCCGCCCGGACCACGUGCUACAGCCCAUAGCAGAGCCCAGAAAACCCCAUUUUCUCGCGAUUUUGUGCGAUCCCUCUUGUUUUUCAGCCGUCCAUUCGACCCCAAACCCCAAGUUUUG